rnacentral:lncRNA from 1 species
CACAGAAUGCCACCGGAUGGGUCAGGCACGCUCUGCCCUUGGUGAAGCUGUGCUGGCUGUCUCAGAUCACCCCUUCAUCUCAGUGUGCCUUAACAUCUCUUCCAGGAGGAUCUGCUCCAUAAUCUUCCCAGGCACAGAGGUGAGGCUCCCCAGCCUGCAGUUCCCAGGUCUUCCUUUCUCCCUUUCUUAAAAUGGGAGUGAUGUUUGCUGUAGUCCUUCAGUCAGCCUGGCUCUGAAGCACCCAGGGCAGCUCUAGACAUCCAUUAUGCAACUUACUGGGCGAGACUGCUGUGAGAACAAAACAUCAUGCUGGAUCAGCUGUUGUGGUGCUUCCUACAAGGUGACAGACUCUGUGAUAUCUUUCAGACGUGCCUCGUUUGCCAUGCUUCCACUGGGCGUUUCUUUCAUCAGGUCUAAACAUUUUGUUGGUUAUAAAGGAGUUACUUUGCCUCAAUCCAGAACUUCAGCAAAGUGUUCUGAUUUUGCAGGUGCCUGUGUUAUUUUAGUGAGAAGAGUGAUCCGCCUUCCCAGUCAUUUGCAUGGUCAGGACUUGAAGCAGCUGUUCCCCACCCCACGUAGUGAUUCUGAAGUAUGAAGAGAGGUUCGGGAGCCAGUGGCAAACGUUUCUCGUUUAGCUUAUUAUGCUAUUUAAUCCAAAUGAUUUCAGCCACCCUAGGAUGCUGUGCCACCCAGGCUCCCUUGUGCACGUGGCAUACAUUAUUGGGACUCUCUGCUCUUGAGAGCUGCUGCCGAGGGCUGACCCCGGGCACAGAAAGGAUGCGGCGAUGUUGGGAUUGUAGCUUGGAACGGCAGGGAAGCUGUGCAUUGCCCUCGGCCAGUCGACUAAUCUAAUGCCUCAUCUUAUUUGCAUACCAAUUAAUUUUUAUUUUAAGAGGACUCAAGUGGACCCAAGUGCCAGACUGUGUCUCAGUAUGCCGUGGGAGGGGACCAGGAGCUGCUCGAUUUGAUCUGAACAACAAGCCCCAGGAUGGUUUUGCGUAAUGAGCCAAAGGCCCCUCUGGCUUAAGUCAGUUCCUUUCCAUCAGAAAUGGGUGAUGGCUGAUGUUUCUGGGUGUCCCGGGGCCUUUUUGGGCAGGUAGGAGCAUGGUGUGCUUAGAUCUUGCUGCACCCUCCACGUGCUGGUGGCACAGGACACAGUCUCUGAGGUGCAGCUCCCAUCACCCACCGUCUCUGCAGAGCAUCCUGGAUGCAGAACAAAACCUAUGGGAGAAGCCUGGCUCCAGGCAGCCCACAUUACUGCGUGGCUGGUGGCAGAGCUCCUCUGAUCAGCCUCAUUUAUUGCAGAGAGGAAGCAAACUCCUCUGCCCAGAGACAGGAAACUGGAGCCACGUGGGCCGUCCGAGAGCCCAGCUGACACCUCACGCCUGCACAGAGCAGCGCUGCUGGGUCUGGGCUUGCUGGCUGCCUGCCACAGCAGCGGCGGUUGUGUUCUCCAUCAUCCACUUUUACAAUGAAGGGGAAACGCAGAGCCUUGCUCUGCACAGGGCUAUUGCAAACCUGAGCGCUCCCUGCCAGCUGCUUCUGAGGGGAAGCAGCUGUGAGCCAGGGCACCUGGGUGCUGGGAGAGCUGGUGCCCGAAGGGGAGGCUGGUGGGCUGAGCCCCUGUGUUCUGCUUCCUGCUGCGCGUCCUUGGAUGUUUACUGCCUCUCCUUCCUGCACUCUGCUGUGUGUGCCAGGAGGACAGGGAGCUCGUGGGCUGCAGCAGGACCUUCCCAGUGGUCCUCGCAGGCAGACACAGCCCUGUUGGCUGCGCUCGGCUGCAGAGGGGUGUGCAGCUGCUGCUGCUGCUUGGGGAAGGGCCGUGCGGUGUUCCCUGCAGCGCCAUCCUGACCCCAAGUCGUUGUCCUGGGACUCCUGCUUCCCAUCUCUAAACUCGCAGUUAUUAGAGGGAAAGGCAGCGUAAGCUUUCUCAGCAGACUCCGUCAUGUUUGUCCUGUUCAAUUACAAUGCAGCAGCAGUGGCACCAGCCGCCGCCUUCCUCCCCUCCCUGGGCUGGAGUGCUGCAGGCUCUCAGCAAAUGCUGUCUGCGGACAUCUGCUGCCUCCUCCCCCCACCGCCUCCUGGCAAGCAGCAGCAGCUUCCAGCGAACAGCCUGCUCUGUGCAUCAUUUCCC